UUGCUGUCUAUCUCAUUACAAUGUGGCCCACGCCCAGAGAAGCAUCUGGGCCGUCUCAAUGGCGCGUGAAAGCCGGCUUUCGUUUGACAUUUCGUCUCCAUGUGACGAUUGUAGGUGCGGCUUCGUGUUAAAGGGAAAAGCUGUUUAUCGAUCCGAAUUUCAUUUCCAUUCAUACGUUUAAUAACUUUUUAUAAACACCGUAGCGUAAAAUGUAAAGCGUGGAUGUCGUGGAAGUCUCUCUUUCAAUUUAGGAACAGAAGAAGUGCAUUAAUAUUCAACGUUGGCGUCCAAGAAAGUGUAUGUUUGUUGAAUGCCAAUCGACAAAUACUGUGAACUCCAACAAGCGUAAGUAUCUACUGUCAGAUAAAAAAUAUUCAAAUUAAAAUAUGAUGAUAUCUACCUA